CCUACGGGGGGCAGCAGUGGGGAAUAUUGGACAAUGGGCGCAAGCCUGAUCCAGCAAUGCCGCGUGUGUGAAGAAGGUUUUCGGAUUGUAAAGCACUUUCAGCGGGGACGAUGAUGACGGUACCCGCAGAAGAAGCCCCGGCUAACUUCGUGCCAGCAGCCGCGGUAAUACGAAGGGGGCAAGCGU
rnacentral:rRNA from 1 species